CCGCUCCUCCUGCUCUUCACCGCGGGCGUCGGCAUCACUCUCAUCCAGCACCGGCUGGUGUUCUCGACAGAGCCGCUCAGCCCGAAAUUCAGCAAGAUCUCGCCCAUGGCGGGCUUCCAGCGGCUGUUCGGCAAGCAGGCGGGUGCGAACUUUCUCAAGGGCAUCUUCAAGGUCGUUCUGCUCGGCGUCGUGAUGUUCCUCGUAUUAUGGCCCGAGCGUCACCGGGUUGAUGCGAUGA
rnacentral:misc_RNA from 1 species